GACGAACGCUGGCGGCGUGCUUAACACAUGCAAGUCGAACGGAAAGGCCCUGCUUUUGUGGGGUGCUCGAGUGGCGAACGGGUGAGUAACACGUGAGUAACCUGCCCUUGACUUUGGGAUAACUUCAGGAAACUGGUGCUAAUACCGGAUAGGAGCUCCUGCUGCAUGGUGGGGGUUGGAAAGUUUCGGCGGUUGGGGAUGGACUCGCGGCUUAUCAGCUUGUUGGUGGGGUAGUGGCUUACCAAGGCUUUGACGGGUAGCCGGCCUGAGAGGGUGACCGGCAAAAAUGGGAAGGAGAGACGGCCCAGACUACUACGGGAGGAAGCAGUGGGGAAUAUUGCACAAUGGGAGGAAGCAUGAUGAAGCAACGCCGCGUGCGGGAUGACAGCCUUCGGGUUGUAAACCGCUUUAGAAUGUGACGAAGAGUGAGUGACGGUAAUGGGUAAAGAAGCACCGGCUAACUACGUG
rnacentral:rRNA from 1 species